UAAUAAAUAUUAUAAUGAUAGCUAUAAGAAUCAAUUAUUUAUAAUAAUAAGUUAAUGAUUUAUUAGGAUGGUGUCACUCAAACAGAAACCUGAUCAAAGUAGUGACACCAAUUUUUAAAUAUAAGUAAUAAUAAGAACAAACACAUACAUUACAACACAUAAAAUGUAAACACAUAGAUUGACGCACAUAGAACAUAUAUUAAAAAUAAACAUCCAAUAAUCAAUAAUUGUAGGUUAUAAUAAUAAAAAAAAAAAAUAAACAACUAAAAAAGUACUUAUGAUAAUUGUAGUAAUAACGAAAAGAAAUAUAAGAUAAUAUUUUAUUAAAAAUAAGAUAAUAUAAAAUAUAGUAUCAUAAUGCCUAAAAGUUAGAAUAAAAUAUUUUUCAAAAUUUUUUUAAAUUGAUUUUUUUUAAUAUUAAGAAAAGGUAUUUUGAGAUGUAGUUUUUUAAACUCAUUCAAAACGCAUACAAGGCUCCUGUUCCAUUCACAGACGCACUGAUAUAUUAUAGAAUACUUACCAUAUUUCUUUUUAUAAGAUUUUAUAAGAUGGUACAUUUAGUUUUCCAUUGUAUAUAUUUCUAGUAGAGUAGGAAUGCACUAGUCUACUUUCUGUGAACAAAUUUGUAAUGGAAGAUGGUAAACUUUUAUUUAUGAAGUCAAAAACAAAAAGAAGAUUAGCAUACUUUACUAAAGCUGGAAAUGUUAGAAUGUUAAUUUUUUUCAAGGAUUCCGAUGUAUCUGAUUUAAAUGGCUGGAAGUUUAUUAUUCUAAUAGAUUGACGCUGAGACGAUAGCAACUUGUUAAUGCGAUAAUUUCCGAUUUGACACCAAACCUGACGACUAUAACUAAGAUGAGAUGAGAAUAAUGCAUAGUAAGUAUUCUUAAGUGUAACUUUAUCAACAUAAUGACGAAUUAUUGAUAGCAUACCGUUAGCUCGAGAUAAUUUCUUGCAUAGCUCAUCAAUGUGAAAACCCCAUGAAAGAUUACAGUCAAUUAACACACCAAGAUAUUUAGUAACUUCCGAAGUAUAUAGCCGUUUAUUAUUAAUUUUGAUUUUAACUUCAACAUUUUUAUAGAUUUAAAAAAAAAUUAGUUCUGUUUUUUUGGUGUUAAGACAUUUAACCAGUGAACUAUACCUUUUAGAUCCGAAUUUACAUUUUUACAUAAAGAUUGAUGCGAUUUGUUAAUAUGCAAGAGGUUCGUAUCAUCAGCAAACAGAUGAACUGACGAGAAGUGAACAGAGUUGAUUAGGUCGUUAACGUAGAUUAAAAACAAAGAGGACCAAGAACAGAACCUUGAGGUACACCACACAAAACAGAUUUAUUACUAGAAUUAAAACCAUUAAUACUUACAAACUGUUUUCGAUUUAAAAGAUAAGAUCGAAACAAGUCAUUUACAAUACCGCGAAUUCCAUAAUGUCCUAAUUUAGAUAUCAAAAUACUAUGGUCAAAGGUAUCGAAUACUUUUUGCAAAUCAAUAAAAACACCACAAACGAAAUGACCAGUAUCAAGAGCUUUUCUAAUUUUUUUUGUAAUACUUAUUAAUGCGUGGCAAGUAGAAUGUUUUGAUCAAAAACCGAAUUGAAAAUCAUAUAAACAAUUAAAUGAGUUUAGAAAAGAAUACACUAUAGAAUACAUAAGUUUUUCAAGAAGUUUACUAAUAUUAGAUAAAAGAGAAAUAGGUCUAUAGUUAGAGCAUAGAAGUUUAGAGCCAUUUUUAAAUAUUGGAAUAACGCAAGAAUGAAAAACGCAAAAAUAACAUGAAUUGUUGCACACUGUCCAUAAUGUUGUAGUUUACACUCGAAGCAUGGAAAACAACUUUGAAGGUUUGUGUUUUUCAAGUUACAUUAUUCAUAGGGUAAAAGAGUUUAUGCUGUCAUGAAAAAAUAUUAUAAAUAGUCAAUAAUUAAUUACAUUAUUAUAAUAAUAUAAUCAGGGAGCAGUAUUUUUAGUUUAUAAAAUAUAUAUUUAAUUAUUAUCAUCAAUGUUGUGUUAUUAUUAAAUGUUUGGUUGAAAGUUUUUGUUUGAAAUAUUGAUGCGUAUUUGAUGUUCAGAGCAUAUUUUAUGAUUUUUCACCUAAUAAAAUAAUAUUUUUGCCCCAUUUAUGAUUUUUAUUGAUAAUAUUUGCUAAUAUAUGUCUUUAUCAAUUAUUUAGAGAAAGAAAUUUAGAAAACUUGAGAAUUAUAUGUUAAUAUCUUUAUUAAAUGUUUUUUCAAAGAUGUAAUGAAGAAAAAUCACAAGAUUUUUUUUGAGACAAAAAAUAGUCCAUACACAGGAGUUCCUUUCCUUAUAUCAUCGUGCAGUGUUCUUGACUGUCAACAUGGAGUAGACAAAGGCUGCACAGCAAAACUCAAUACAGAAACAGAAAAAACAGUGAAGCUGUAUGUGUUACCUGAUUUUAAUUCAAAUUAUUGUUUUACGUAAUUCUAGUUAUCAUUCAGAGCUUAAAUUUUCCCAUUGAAAAAAGUCCCUAUUUUGCUUUUCACAAAUAUAUUCAAAAAAAAAUUUGAUUGUCCCGCUGCAAUUUCAAUCAAAGAAAUAGUUGAAUUUCCUGAAUUUAAGAUUGAAAAAGAUUCAGCAUGGUUGAGAAGUGUGGCAUCAUAGAAACUUCGUAAAGCUCUGGCCCCUCAAAAUGAUAUUGUAAUGUGUAGAAAAUAUAUUUUAAUACUACAGGACAUUUCUGUUCAUAGAAAUCAUCCAGUUGGUAAUGUAAGUACCACAAUGUUUACAUUGUGAUUACAAUGUGUUUACAAUGAUUACACUGCGUUUUUGUUUUCUUUCUUUAUGACUUAUCAUUAAUGAAAUUGCUGAACUUGUAAAAAAAGGUUAAUUCAGUUCCAGAUAUGAGGCGUCAUCUGGAUGCCUUUGUUCAGAUGAAAUUUGUUUCAAAUAACAUUCUAAAAACAAACAAACGUUUUUAUCCACUGGAUGAAACGAUCGCAAAUCAUAUGGAGAAGGCUAGAAAAAACUUUCAAAGAUCUUUGAUAGAUCAAGAAUGUUUGUUAGGUAAGAUAGAUGAAUGGAAAGUAUACUUUUUAGAAGUAUGUAUAUAUUUUCGACCUAAAGUGGAAAAAUCUGAGUUAUCCUGCUCUCAAAGAUUCUUUGUUAUUUGUGUAUCAAGAUGUAUGGCAAAAGAGACUGCUAUUAAAAUAUGGAAAUGAGCUUACCUUUCUGGAUGCUACAUAUCGCACAACUAGAUAUGCUCUGCUUCUCUGUUGAAUACCAAGUCGUUGCCAUUUUUUUGUGUAAAAAUGAAACAACAGAAGCUCUAAUUUGUAUUAAAAAAUGGAAUCCUUUAUUCCGGCCUUAGUGUUUUUUGACUAAUUAUUGUAAUGAAGAAUUUAAUUUUUUUGAACCUGUUUUCCCAGGUAAAGUCAUUUUCCAUAAAUAUUUAUGCUCUUUUCUAUUACUUAUAUGUAAUAUAAUUUAUAUUUUAUUAAUUUCCAGCAUUAAAAGUACUACUUACUGCUUUAGAAACAGCCCUUUUUUAAAUUUAAACAUCCAGGUUAAUUCUUGUAAACACUUUAAAAAAUAAACUUGUUGAGAUUAUAUGGUAUUUCAAGUAAAUGCUGUUUUUGCUUUGAGGUUUUAUAUUGAUGUUUUAGUUAUCUUUUUUUAAACACUUUUUUUUUCCAUCUAAGGCUCAAUUGGAUGAGUGUAUUUAAAUGUAAAAGAAAUUAUAAAUGUUCUUUCAUUUUUUUAUAUCUUUUUUUAUAUUUUUUUUUUGCAUGUUGUGUGAUUAUUUGUGAUUUUCACCAAGAGCAGGUUUGGGAGAGAUGGUUGUCAAAAAUAGCCAAUGGAUGUUGCCAAAACUGAACCCAAAACAACUUAAAAUUGAGAGAAUAUCUUAAAAACACUUGGUUGUGUAUCCUAAAGUUUAGUAACAGUAGUAUUCAUCAGAUUGUUAACAUCCAUAGUAUGCCUAAUGUAUCCAAAUAGGAGAUGGGUGCUUGCUUACAGACGAGAUUAACUGCUGAUAAAUGUCAACACUAACAAUGGCACUGAACCGCAAAACCAAACGUUUGAGUACAGUUUUUUGGAGAAAAGGAAAAGUUCUUCACUUACAUCAAUGCUUAGCAUUUGUAUAGAAGAACUUCUUCUGCAUAAAUAUGACAACUAUGCCGAUGAAAAUAGAAGGGCACAUACAUAGUAUAGAAAAUACAAUGUUAACAUUCCGGCUUAUUUAAUUAAUCGACCACCACCUCUUGUAAAACAUUGUAUGAGAAUGAUCGAUAUAUGUCCAAGUGUAGGGUUGGUUGGAAUUAGUUCUGUAACAGCAGGAUUGUAUAAUGUAGCUUCGUUUCAAUCUAAUAAUCGACACAUUUACCAAUGUUAUUUUGGUGAUGCUGAACAACUACCAACUUCUUCUUGUCCAGCUUGGUUUGAAAGUGCAUAUCCAUGCAAGCAUUUUUUUGUCAUUUUUAUUAAAGAAAAUCUCUCCUGGUCAUCUUUUGGUUCCUCUUAUCGAAUUUCCCCAUAUUUUAUUUUUGAUCCAUUGUCGGAUGAAUAUUAUUCUUCAAAUUUGGCUUCCUCUCUAGAUUUAGUGUAUUCCAACAAUAAUUUGUCUCAAAAUAAUCAUUUUAACAGUGCUAAAUCGUUUUGUGUUGGAUCUUCACGGGAUGAAUAUGAUCAGACAAAUGCUGAGUUUUGUGGAUAAUACAAAUUGUCUUGGUUACAAUAACCUAAAUAGUCAAGCACUGUCUAUUCAGCACACACCUGCAGCGUGUCGUGAAGUCUUGAAUGAACUAAUAAAAAUAACUUAUUUAGGCAGUUCUCAAACAGCAACAACUAAUUUGUUCGAAGGGCUUUGUAAACUUUAAAAUAGUUUUGAGGAAACUUAAUUGAGAGAACAAGGUAUUCUUCUGCGUCAAGAAUGUAAACCAGGUAUUUGGAGCAAGUCUCUUAUAAAUUCACCAAAACUUUGUCAGCUGCCAGUUCGACGCAAAAGGAAAAUGGCGAAACGAGUUGGUAUUAAAUAUGGCAUGGCUAAAAGAGCUUCAAACAUAAAUUUUGUAGUAAAAGUAAAAGAUGAAGUUUCUUUUUCUGAGGUUGUUACAAACCACGUGAUUGAUGAAAAUUGUGAAAUGUUUACAGUGCCCAAUGCAACAAUCGAAUAUGAAAAAAAAAAUCAGGUGAUUGCCAGAAGGUUUUUGAAUCUACUGAUGUUAGUGAAGAUGUCUAAUUGCAAAGCACUGUUCAACGUAUUUAGUUUCUGAAGUCCUCUUUAAUUAGAAAUUCAGAACAAAAUCAUACUGAAAACGGACAAAUGCUUAAUGAAAAUGUAAUUCACUUGUGUCAACAAAUGAUGUCAAUUGGAUUAAAAAUUAAUGAAGGUCUACAGGAUCCAGUUAAAGGAAAAGUAUUAUCUUUUAAUGUUCAUUCAAGUACUCCAUUCGUCCAAAUCCUUUAUGAUGGCAAUGCUAUACUUGUGCAGAAUGGUUUCACCGUGAAUGUGAAAGAAUUCCACAGAGUGUUAUGAAAUAGAAGAACUUUGGAAUUGUCACAAAUGCAACAGUAAACUAGGUUUUUAAGGCUUAGUAAAUAUAGAAAGAUAGCUUCAGGUAUUACAUUUUUUUAAAUAUAUUUAUCAAGUAUUUUAAAGGACUUCUGUGCAGACAAAGUUGUUACUGGUAAAAUUUUGAUUUUCUAUAAAUAUAUAUCUAUAACUUUAUUAAAUAAAGAACAAAUUUAAUGAAUGUUAUCUUUUUAUUUUCAUAUGUCAUCUCAGAUUCGAAAUUCAAAAACAAAUUAUGUAAUAAAACAAAAAAUAUUACUUAAUAACAAUUCUUGGAUCACGGCUUUAUUUUAUAGUGCUUAUGCCUUGUUAUUAAUUGGUAUAGAUGUUUAUACCUUUCUGAUGAUAGUAUAUAUGUUUGUUUAUUGGAAUUUUAUUAUAUAAAUAUUUGUGACACUGAUAUAAACUGCCCCAUUUGUUUGGUUUGUGUCAUAGUGUUGUAAAAAUUGUGUUGACAUAAAUAGCUUAUACUGUGGUGAUAAUGGCAUCUUAAAAACUAUAUAUAUAGCCUUUGUGUAGUAUGAGCCUUAGCGGUUAUAUAAUUCAAAUGUAUAUAUAAUGCUGACGCCUAAUAUUUCAUGAAUAUAUGUAUGUAUGUAAACAUUUUAAUUCGUCUUGGUAACACAUGCAUUAGAUCUAUAUAGGUAUAAGGUAUACCUAAAAAUAGAGCGAUCAGAUGCUCUCAAUAUUAAAAUUUAAUGAGUGAACCAUUUAAAUUGCUUCAAAUGGUGUUGAUAUUACAUAGCAUUUUGUUGAGAAAUCAUUGUUAAUUUUUUUUAGGGAGGUGAGCAGUUGCUGGCUACUUUCACGUUAGUGCUCACUGUUAAAAACGGUAUCAAUACCGAAUUUCAAAUCAUGAAAUUUGCCUUUUAAAUCAUGAACUAAAUGCCAAGACGAGUCAAUAAAUAAACUUGAUGGCGGCUGUUAUAACUGAUUUUGGAAAGUGUCUUCAACGUUAAUUGUUUUUUAAAAAAAAUGUGUUUUAUAUAUGUAUUUGUUUUAAAAUAUUUUUGUUCCAUAUUUAACUUUAUAUCAUGUAAAUAAAUUUGUUUUUAAGAUAUGUAAACUCAAGACUUGCUUUUUUACGGAUUUUCAGAAAAGUAAACACAGGUUUAAA